rnacentral:lncRNA from 1 species
GCAGACCACCCUGUUGGUGAUCAAAAUGAAGUGUUCGAAGAAUUUAAGGAGCAGCUACAAAGAAGUAAAGAUGGAUGGUAUCAAACUGGUCUCCCUUGGAAGGGAGAUCACCCGGCGCUGCCAACUGGGAAAUAUGUCAGUUUACAUAGAUUAAACACUCUAGUUCGCAAGCUAGAGAAAUCAGGAACGAUCAACGAUUAUGAUGCAAUCAUCAGAGAGCAGCUGAACCAAGGCGUAAUAGAGCGUGCCCCAGACACAGUGGUCGGCGAAGAAUGCUACAUUCCACAUAAGCCAGUGAUACGAGAGAAAGCAGAGAGUACAAAACUUCGAAUUGUGUACGAUGCUUCGGCGCGAGUAGAAGAUAAUGCACCAUCUCUAAAUGAAUGUCUCAAUCCUGGUCCGCCACUCCAAAACCAACUCUGGAGUGUGCUCGUAAGAGGACGAUUUAAUCCUGUAGCCCUCACGGCAGAUAUCAAGCAAGCCUUCUUACAAGUCCGAAUUUGUGAAGAGAACAGAGAUGCUUUAAGAUUCCACUGGUUAAAAGAUGUGAAUUCAAAGGAGGUGGAGACCUACAGGUUUACUAGGGCAUUAUUCGGACUCGCCCCAUCUCCAUUUCUUUUGGGCGGAGUGAUCAAACAACAUCUUGAAGUGUGGCGCAGUAAAAGUCCAGAAACUGUGCGUGAAAUCGAAAAGAGCCUCUACGUGGAUGAUUUGAUAUCAGGUGCGACAACCACCAAUGACGCCAAGCUACUCAAAGUUGAAGCUACAGAAAUAUUCGAGGACGCUGCCUUCCAACUACACAAGUGGCAUUCGAACGAAGCUACACUGGAGUCCAACCAACAUGAAGGAGAACUCACAGAUCAGACCUUUGCUAAACAGCAACUGAGACAGCCAGAUAACGGGAACUGCAGCCUCCUUGGGCUUGCAUGGAAUAAGAACAAAGACACAAUUAGCAUUCCUAUUUCGAAUGAGGAAGUACCAACAACCAAACGAGGAGUUCUAACGAAAGUAGCAAAGAUCUAUGACCCACUGGGGUUGGCGUCACCAUUGUCACUAACUGGGAAAAUGCUGUAUCGAGAAACGUGCAACCUUAAAUGUACAUGGGAUCAAGCACUACCAAUUGACCUCGGUAAGAGAUGGAAACGAUGGGAAAGAGAGUUACCAGAACGUAUAACAACAGUGAGGUCUUUGGCAAAGUACCAAGAACCAGUCACCAACAUCACUCUUCAUGCGUUCGGCGAUGCGAGUGGAAACGGGGUAGCUGCAGCCACCUAUGCUGUAGUGUCUCAACCAUCAGGGCAAACACAAGGGCUCGUGACAGCCAAGGCACGACUCGCCAAACAAGGACUAACUAUACCUCGACAAGAAUUAGUUGCUGGCCACAUGGCUGCUAAUCUUGUCACUAAUGUCAAGGAAGCACUCGAAGGAUUCCCUGUAGCAAACUCAUACUGUUGGUUAGAUAGUACGGUGGCCCUUCAUUGGAUUCGAGGCGAAGGAAACUACAAGCAAUUCGUGCAAAACCGAGUCAACAAAAUUCAGCAGAAAAACCUCGAGUGGAGAUACG